rnacentral:piRNA from 1 species
GACAUCCUGCAGUCUGGCUGCUGA